rnacentral:rRNA from 1 species
UGGGGAAUAUUGCACAAUGGGCGCAAGCCUGAUGCAGCGACGCCGCGUGGGGGAUGAAGGCCUUCGGGUUGUAAACUCCUUUCGCUAGGGACGAAGCCUUAUGGUGACGGUACCUGGAGAAGAAGCACCGGCUAACUACGUGCCAGCAGCCGCGGUAAUACGUAGGGUGCGAGCGUUGUCCGGAAUUACUGGGCGUAAAGAGCUCGUAGGUGGUUUGUCGCGUCGUCUGUGAAAUCCCGGGGCUUAACUUCGGGCGUGCAGGCGAUACGGGCAUAACUUGAGUGCUGUAGGGGGGACUGGAAUUCCUGGUGUAGCGGUGAAAUGCGCAGAUAUCAGGAGGAACACCAAUGGCGAAGGCAGGUCUCUGGGCAGUAACUGACGCUGAGGAGCGAAAGCAUGGGUAGCGAACAGG